GACGAACGCUGGCGGCGUGCUUAACACAUGCAAGUCGAACGAAGUGGCGCACGGGUGAGUAACGCGUAAUCAACCUGCCCUUCAGUGGGGGACAACAGUUGGAAACGACUGCUAAUACCGCAUACUGAAGGAGGGGAUUGCGUCUGAUUAGCUAGUUGGAGGGGUAACGGCCCACCAAGGCGAUGAUCAGUAGCCGGGCUGGGAGGAUGAACGGCCACAUUGGGACUGCGACACGGGCCAGACUCCCAAGGGCGGCAGUAGGGGGGGACCGUCCGGAAUGGAAGACAGUCUGACGGAGCAACGCCCUGGGAGUGACGACCGCCUUCGGGGUGUCCAGCUCUGUUAGUCGGGACGCGGUACCGGCAGAGUAAGCCACGGCUAACUACGUGCCAGCAGCCGCGGUAAUUC
rnacentral:rRNA from 1 species